UAUGCUCACUGUGGAGCCCCGAGAGUC
rnacentral:sRNA from 1 species